GACGAACGCUGGCGGCGUGCUUAACACAUGCCAGUCGAACGGAAAGGCCCUGCUUUUGUGGGGUGCUCGAGUGGCGAACGGGUGAGUAACACGUGAGUAACCUGCCCUUGACUUUGGGAUAACUUCAGGAAACUGGGGCUAAUACCGGAUAGGAGCUCCUGCUGCAUGGUGGGGGUUGGAAAGUUUCGGCGGUUGGGGAUGGACUCGCGGCUUAUCAGCUUGUUGGUGGGGUAGUGGCUUACCAAGGCUUUGACGGGUAGCCGGCCUGAGAGGGUGACCGGCCACAGUGGGACUGAGAUACGGCCCAGACUCCUACGGGAGGCAUUGGGGAAUAUUGCACAAUGGGCGGAAGCCUGAUGCAGCAACGCCGCGUGCGGGAUGACGGCCUUCGGGUUGUAAACCGCUUUCGCCUGUGACGAAGCGUGAGUGACGGUAAUGGGUAAAGAAGCACCGGCUAACUACGUG
rnacentral:rRNA from 1 species